GGACGAUCACACUGAAGCAAUCUGCUUCUGCUACUGCACUUAGUGAUACGGAAACAUUGGAUUGAUUUAAAAGCAGCCCACUGGCAGCUUUCCACCCAUGGCUUUGGAAAGAAAGAACCAUUGUCACCCCCACCCCUGCCGUGUUUAAGCUGACAAUAUCUGCACCAACCAUUUAUUCCUGUCUUCACCUGUGACAAGGAUCGCUGGGUUACUGUGAAGAUGUGACAGAAGCUUUGUGCUGCAGUCGCUAUGAGGACACUAAGGCUUUUGCUGGUAACCCUGACGCUGCUGGUGCUGGAAAGUCAGGGUUUUGAACUGCAGGAUACGAUCCAUGCGCUGAUAGAGGAGAACAUCCACCUCCAUGACCAGCUGGAGAACCUCACCAAGGCCCUCAGAGAGCUCAAACGGAUGCUGUGGCUUCACUCAAAUGACCCAGAUCAUCACCAUGAACAUCAUGAUGAAGAUGUCCAGCAUCUGUGGGACGAAUGGUCAGAACAUGGUAUCAGUGCAGAAACCCACCUCCUGCUGGAAAACACCUUUUGUGGGCAUGGCCUGCAUGGCUCAGCAGCUCCUCUCCACGGACACGGAGCACACCUCAUACGCCUGCUGAUGCUGCUGCAGCUGCUGCUGAUAAUGAUGAGAUGCCUGUAGGCUGCAGCGGUCUGAUGUCAGAAAAGUUGAGUCAACUCCUCAUGGCCGCUGCAGGCUGUAUUGUGCAAUUUAAUAUGGUUGAACAGCGAGUGUCGAUGCCACCGCUCUUCCUGUUCAGAGGAAUUAUUGAGCCGACAAGAUUUGAAGAGUUGACCUGUCAAUCCUGUGUACAAAUCACCUCUGGGGAGGAUUCACUGGAGCGAAAAGUUCAUGUGGGUGUAGAGAAAGCAGACUGAGAGCAGGUUAAACACAGGGAGUUGCCUUACUUUUUAGCCAUUUAUUGUAUUAAUGAAAUACAAUAAAUGUUUAUAACUAAGCUGAACUCAGAAAGUUGGUUUUUGUAACUCUAAAUGGAAAUGCUGUGAACUUUACUGAAAAAUAAAGCUAACUGCUAAUUUUUUGUGUUUGCCUGAGUACAGCUAAAGCCACUUUACCUGCUAUAAAAUGAAACAAUAAUUCUUUCCAAUUUAAAAAAAACUAAGUAAUGAAAUAGAAAUAAUUACUGAAAUAUCAAUGAAUUUAUUUGAAAAGAUGUAAUAGAUUAUUUCCAAUUUGAAAUAGUUAAUUACUGAAAUGUGUAAUUUAUUAUUUAUUUACUUAUUUAAUUCAUUUUGGCACUCUUGGCCCUCCAGUUUCAACAACACUAGUUAUCACUCAGGUGUUUUCACCUUAAACACUUCUACCCCAACGCUUUACGUUGUUCACCAGUUCCUGUUUUAAAAACAAUAAAAUGUUAAAGCAGCCAAAGUCGUUCUUCAGUUGAACCACUUGGCAGUCAUCUUGAAACGCCUCCAGGCACUUUUCUUUUACGCAAUAUGUAAAUAUCACCAGCACAUUGGUAAUUAUUAUUGCAAUCACCUGAUUACCUGUUUUUAAAAAAUAAAAUAGUUUGUUUACCUCUUUGCAAGUUCUGCUCCAUCACAAGCUUGAUAGAGGACUUUUAGAAUUCAUUUAGUUCAGGACACUUUUAGUGCCACCCCUUCUUUUUAUAUAAGAAAGCACAUCGAAUUUAAAUUCCUCACAUAAAACAUCCUGAAUAAUCAGGUCCCAUCUUAUCUUAAAGACCUCCCAUGAUGCAAUGAGUGUUUCUUCUUCACUCACCUCUAAUCGUUGGUUUUUACUAACCUCUGGCCCUCUUCCACAGUGUUUCUUUCAUCCCGUCUCCCUCCCCUCACCCACUUGCAGCAGAUGGCUGAUUCAACCUGAGCCUGGAGGUUUCUUCCUGUUGAAAGGGAGUUUUUCCUUCCCACUGUCACCAAGUGAUCGCUCAUAACUGCUUGUUGGGGCUUGUCCUUCUAACAUUGCAG
ensembl:lncRNA